UGGGGAAUUUUGGACAAUGGACGAAAGUCUGAUCCAGCAACGCCGCGUGAAGGAUGAAGGUCUUCGGAUUGUAAACUUCUUUUAGAGGGAACGAAACAAAUGACGGUACUCUCAGAAAAAGCCACGGCUAACUACGUGCCAGCAGCCGCGGUAAUACGUAGGUGGCAAGCGUUACUCGGAUUUACUAGGCGUAAAGCGCAUGUAGGCGGUUGGAUAAGUCUAUGGUGAAAUCUCCCAGCUUAACUGGGAGGGGUUCAUAGAUACUGUCCGGCUUGAGUGUGGGAGGGGAUGACGGAAUUCCUGGUGUAGCGGUGAAAUGCGUAGAUAUCAGGAGGAACACCGAUGGCGAAGGCGGUCAUCUGGCCCAAUACUGACGCUGAGAUGCGAAAGCUAGGGGAGCAAACAGG
rnacentral:rRNA from 1 species